AUGAACGCUGGCGGCGUGCCUAAUACCUGCAAGUCGCGCGAACAGACGAGGAGCUUGCUCCCCUGACGUUAGCGGCGGACGGGUGAGUAACACGUGGAUAACCUACCUAUAAGACUGGGAUAACUUCGGGAAACCGGAGCUAAUACCGGAUAAUAUAUUGAACCGCAUGGUUCAAUAGUGAAAGACGGUUUUGCUGUCACUUAUAGAUGGAUCCGCGCCGCAUUAGCUAGUUGGUAAGGUAACGGCUUACCAAGGCAACGAUGCGUAGCCGACCUGAGAGGGUGAUCGGCCACACUGGAACUGAGACACGGUCCAGACUCCUACGGGAGGCAGCAGUAGGGAAUCUUCCGCAAUGGGCGAAAGCCUGACGGAGCAACGCCGCGUGAGUGAUGAAGGUCUUCGGAUCGUAAAACUCUGUUAUUAGGGAAGAACAAAUGUGUAAGUAACUAUGCACGUCUUGACGGUACCUAAUCAGAAAGCCACGGCUAACUACGUG
rnacentral:rRNA from 1 species